GACGAACGCUGGCGGCGUGCUUAACACAUGCAAGUCGAACGGAAAGGCCCUGCUUUUGUGGGGUGCUCGAGUGGCGAACGGGUGAGGAACACGUGAGUAACCUGCCCUUGACUUUGGGAUAACUUCAGGAAACUGGGGCUAAUACCGGAUAGGAGCUCCUGCUGCAUGGGGGGGGUUGGAAAGUUUCGGCGGUUGGGGAUGGACUCGCGGCUUAUCAGCUUGUUGGUGGGGUAGUGGAUUGCCAAGGCUUUGACGGGUAGCCGGCCUGAGAGCGUGAACAGGCACAUUGCGACUGCGAGACGGCCCAGUCUCGUACGGGAGGCAGCAGUCGGGAACCUUGCACAAUGGGACCAAGCCUGAUACAGAAACGCCCCGUGCGGGAUGACCGCCUUCUGGUUGUAAACCGCUUUCGCCUGUGACGAAGCGUGAGUGACGGUAAUGGGUAAAGAAGCACCGGCUAACUACGUG
rnacentral:rRNA from 1 species